rnacentral:rRNA from 1 species
AGAGUUUGAUCCUGGCUCAGAACGAACGCUGGCGGCAGGCUUAACACAUGCAAGUCGAACGCCCCGCAAGGGGAGUGGCAGACGGGUGAGUAACACGUGGGAACGUCCCCCUCGGUUCGGAAUAACUCAGGGAAACUUGAGCUAAUACCGGAUACGUCCGAGAGGAGAAAGAUUUAUCGCCGAGGGAUCGGCCCGCGUCU